rnacentral:rRNA from 1 species
UAGGGAAUCUUCGGCAAUGGGGGGAACCCUGACCGAGCAACGCCGCGUGAGUGAAGAAGGUUUUCGGAUCGUAAAGCCCUGUUGUUAAGGAAGAACGAGUGUGAGAAUGGAAAGUUCAUACUGUGACGGUACUUAACCAGAAAGGGACGGCUAACUACGUGCCAGCAGCCGCGGUAAUACGUAGGUCCCGAGCGUUGUCCGGAUUUAUUGGGCGUAAAGCGAGCGCAGGCGGUUAGAUAAGUCUGAAGUUAAAGGCAGUGGCUCAACCAUUGUAGGCUUUGGAAACUGUUUAACUUGAGUGCAGAAGGGGAGAGUGGAAUUCCAUGUGUAGCGGUGAAAUGCGUAGGUAUAUGGAGGAACACCGGUGGCGAAAGCGGCUCUCUGGUCUGUAACUGACGCUGAGGCUCGAAAGCGUGGGGGGCGAACAGG